GCAGAAUCCACUCAAAAAAAUGGGAAGAGGGGCUGCUUUGGAUAACAGUAAUUUAGGAGUGACACCAGCUGCUGGAAGCUGACUUAGGAGCGUGAAACUAUCUCCUUUAGUUGCCGGUGUUGUCACAAAGACGAGCGUCACCCGUGGCCUGAGGAUUCUGGCCGCGCGCGUGUAGCAAAUCUCGAAUAGGAGAUUUGAAACCUGAGGAUGUGGUUUCUGAAACCAAUUUCAACACCCAUUCUCUCAAGGCUUGGGCAAAUCUUUUCUCUUUAUCUGUUUCUGCCUCUAUAAAACCUGACAGGUAACCAACCCAGCUGACUUACCACUGGGCUCUGCGCCCCAGUGCUGAAGUUCAAACUCAGAACCCUGCCUCUGCUAUGCAAAUGCUCUCUCUGCUCCUAAAAUCCACCUCAGCCUGAGAUACACACAGAUCCUCAUAUCAAGGUCUCCAGGGUACUGUUAAGUGGAAAGAAAAGUACAGAACACUGUUUCGAGAGGAAAUACAUCAGACUGGUUUGGGAAGCUACCUCUGGGAAAGGAGUCUCAAGUUGACAUGUUGGAGGGGUCACCAUGAGACGCUGAGGUGUGGCUCAGUAGUUGGUAGAAAGCUUCCUCAGCACACAAAGACUUGUUAAUUCCAAGCACUGAAAAGAAAUUAAUGUACUUAUGUGUAAAUUCUGCAA